AUGCGCGGUAUCCAAAGAAUGUCAACAGAGACCCAAAUCUUACAGUUCAUAAAGCUUUGGGAAUUGAUGCAGACAAUACAACUUUCAACCUCCCAUGACUCAAUAGUCUGGAAGCGCUCCAACAAUGGAAACUACACCGCUAAAUCUGCUUAUGAAGCUCAAUUCAUUGGCCGAAUCCCACAACAGCAGCUAGAAGUGGUUUGGAAGGCAAACACCAGAGGGAAAGUUAAAUUCUACAUUUGGCUCCUGCUUCAAAACAGAAAUUGGACAACAGACAGGCUUGCACGCGGAGAGUGGCCUCAUAAUCCUAUCUGCCCCCUCUGCGACCAAGCGCCGGAAACUGCGCUACACCUCCUUCUCCGUUGUCCGUAUGCCAAGGAACUCUGGUUCUCUGCUAGAAGUAUUCACCAGCGCAUGGUUGAUAUUGCUCUUACUGCAACCUCCAUCAAUAUGUGGUGGCGCAAGCUGAAUUCAGUUGGGCCCAAGGAAAUCAAGAGAACCCAGGUUAGGUUUGCAAUGUAUAUGGCCUGGAACUUAUGGAAGGAACGAAAUCGCCGUGUCUUCCAGGCCACUAGUACACAACCUCCAGUUUUGUUGCAAAUGUUAAAGAUGAUGUCGGCCUCCUGGAGGAGGCCUUUCAGAAAUAAUCCCAUGUAA
rnacentral:rRNA from 1 species